AUAUAUAAUUAAAACCUCAAUAGUGUACAUGUGUAAUAUAUUGGUAGAUAUGUAUAUUUUAUAAUAUCGAUAAAUUAUGUAUGUAUGUAUGUAUUUAUUUAUUUAUGUAUAUACGUAUGUAUGAUAGUGUGUAAAUAUUUGAUGUAACUUUUGUUCAAUAUAUAGAUAUUAAACGGGUUAUUGGGUAACCCGAUUAUUUUUCCGUGUCGGGUUUAGGUCUCAAUAUUUUGACACGAUUAUUAAAUGGGUCGGAUUUGAGUCGACCUAAAUUUGACACGACACGAACACGACCUGAUGACCCGUUUUGUCAACUCUAGCCGACAUGAUCGCGUUGAUUUCACUUGGAACCAGUAGAUUCUGUUCUAGAACUUCUAGUACAAUUUCCAUCCGCAGCCUAAGCCUAGUAAGCCUUCUCUAUUCUAUAUAUUAAAUUCUUUUGCGUGCUCUCAUAAAUUUCCUAAUUUAUCUUAUCACGCCACCUAAAAGUAGGGAUGGCAAUGGGGAGGGGAGGGGAGGGGACCGAUCUCCCUGUACCCAUCCCCGAUAUUUUACGUAUGUCCCCAUCCCCUCCCCGUCCCCGUCAGAAUUACUUGAGAGAAUUCUCAUCCCCUCCCCGAAUAAUAACAGGGGAUCCCCGAGGGUCCCCGAUCCCCGAAUAACUAAUACAUUUUUUUUUCGAUUUUGAGUUAAUCAUAUUAAAAUAAAAAAUUCAAAUAAAAGUAAAGUUUGAAAUAUAUCUUACAUUAAUAUCUAUUACAAAAGUCACAUACAUUAAAUUAGUAAGUAACGCAACAUGCAAGGGAUACAAACUUAUUUUACAAACUAUCAUGAACAAAUUAAUAGUCUAAUACAAAAUUGUUACAAAUAAAAUCGAAUUUAGAUUCAAAAUUAACUUUUUCAAUGGUGGCGUGGGCACUUUAUAAAUGUGGACUAUUCCUUUUACAACACAAUAGUUAAAUCGGAGCAAAUCAAAAGUAAAUAUUAGAUUAGAUUAGAUUAGAUAUUAAAAUUGUGAUUCGCUGUGGGCAAUUAUAACAUCUAAAAUUAAAUAAAAAAUAGAUUUAAGUUUAAAAUAUUUAAAGAAUAUCAAAAUUAAAAAAAAUGUUUGGCUAAUAGAAUCUACUCGGUCUUUUUAAUGUCCUAAAUAAAAAUUUAGAACUUUAAUUAGCUAAUUAGGCCUAAAAGUUUAAUAAUAUAAAUAUUUUGAUAUUUUUUAUUUUUACCAAUAUUUAUAAUUUUAUAAUUUAAAUUUUAUAAUUUAUUUACUAGUAAUUUUAAAAAAUUAAAAUUAAAUUAAAAAUUAAAAUGGGGAAAUGGGUAGGGGAUGGGGAUUUCACCUCAUCCCCGUCCCCUCCCCGAAUAAGAAAUUGGGUAUGAAAUUAUCCCCAUACCCUCCCCGAAUGGGAAAAAUCCCUGAGGGUACCCGUCCCCGUGGGAAUUUUUGCCAUCCCUACCUAAAAGUCUAGCGGUAAUUAGAUCAUUUUUCUUCCCACUCCCCUGUGUGCGACAGUGUGGGGAUUUUUUUUUUAAAUAACAGUAUAUCAAUUUUAAGAACUAUUUCUGAUGUAAAUUCAAAAAAUUUAUUAAUCUUUUGAACAAUGCUAAAUGAACAAAAUCAUGAUAAAAUAAUGAUAAAUUUUUUGGGACUAUUUAUUUAUAAAAUAAAUAAAUAAAUAAAAGUGAAAACAAAAUGCUAUACAAGUUGUAAAUUUAUCGUAAACUAUUUUUAAAAAAAAUUAAAGCAAUAAACAAAUUUAUGUUGAUUGUUUUAAGUUAGUAGCUAUGAAAGAAACCAACCGCAGCUUAGAUCUUGUUUGGAAUUGAAAUAUUUUAUUUUUAAAAAAAUUAAAACAAUAA
rnacentral:lncRNA from 1 species